AAAAUUCGUCCGAUAACUUAAGUUAUGGCUCCAACCAUUACUACAAACAAAUCCACUUACUUACUGCUUUUGAUUUGGAAACGCCGCCUUCAACUCCUUACAACUUCUUCAUAUGAACUACAAAAGCAAUAAUGCUUUCAUGCAAGGUGUAGGCUUUAAAAUCGCCGUUCUAAUCGCACCUUUCGAUCUUCAAAAGCUACUGUAAAACUCCUCGUACCCUCAAAAGAGUAAUAGUAUAUUUUAAAUAAACACCUUAAUUUCAAAUGGCUAUAACUUCUUCAUCCUAAUUCUAAAUCCUCUAAUUUUUGUACACAAAUUGUAUCCCAAAUCCUAAACUUUA
rnacentral:lncRNA from 1 species